GGGGCUAUAGCGCAGUCUGGUAGCGCACCUCGUUCGCAUCGAGGGGGUCUAGGGUUCAAAUCCCUAUAGCUCCA
rnacentral:tRNA from 2 species